rnacentral:rRNA from 1 species
AAAUAGAACCUGAAACCCUGCACUUACAAGCUGUGGAAGCACAUUUCUUGUGUGACCGCGUACUUUUUGUAGAACGGGCCAACGAGUUACGUUAAGUAGCAAGGUUAAGCACUUAAGGUGUGGAGCCGUAGCGAAAGCGAGUUUUAACUGAGCGUUCAGUUACUUGACGUAGACCCGAAACCGGGCGACCUACCCAUGAGCAGGAUGAAGCGAAAGUAAAAUUUCGUGGAGGUCCGAACCCACGAGCGUUGAAAAGCUCGGGGAUGACUUGUGGGUAGCGGUGAAAUUCCAAUCGAGCCCGGAGAUAGCUGGUUCUCCCCGAAAUAGCUUUAGGGCUAGCCUCAAGGUGAGAGAUACGGAGGUAGAGCACUGAAUGUCCUAGGGGGUAUUGCACCUACCGAAGACUAUCAAACUCCGAAUGCCGUCAUCUUAUACUUGGGAGUCAGACUGUGGGUGAUAAGAUUCAUAGUCGAAAGGGCAACAGCCCAGAUCGUCAGCUAAGGUCCCUAAAUGUAAGUUAAGUGGUAAAGGAUGUGGGAUUGCACAGACAACCAGGAUGUUGGCUUAGAAGCAGCCACUCAUUCAAAGAGUGCGUAAUAGCUCACUGGUCGAGUGAUCCUGCGCCGAAGAUUUCCGGGGCUAAAACUUACUACCGAAGCUACGGCAUCAGUAAUGAUGGGUAGGGGAGCUUCCCAUACGGGUUGAAGCAUGACCGUAAGGACAUGUGGACAGUAUGGGAGUGAGAAUGUUGGCAUGAGUAGCGAGAUGUGGGUGAGAAUCCCACAGGCCGUAAACCCAAGGUUUCCAGGGGAAGGUUCGUCCGCCCUGGGUUAGUCGGGACCUAAGCUGAGGCCGAAAGGCGUAGGUGAUGGACAACAGGUUGAUAUUCCUGUACUACCGAUAACCGUUUGAGAGAAGGGAUGACACAGUAGGAUAAGCUAAGCACACUGUUGGUUAUGUGUGCCCAAGCAUUGAGGCAGUCAAAGUAGGCAAAUCCGCUUUGAUAAUGCUGGGAUGUGAUGGGGAGCGAAAUUUAGUAGCGAAGUAGCUGAUUUCACACUGUCAAGAAAAGUCUCUAUCGAGGUUAAAGGUACCCGUACCGCAAACCGACACAGGUGGGUGAGGAGAGUAUCCUAAGGCCAGCGAGAGAACUGUUGUUAAGGAACUCGGCAAAAUGACCCCGUAACUUAGGGAUAAGGGGUGCCACCAUCCGGUGGCCGCAGAGAAUAGGCCCAAGCGACUGUUUACCAAAAACAUAGGUUUCUGCUAAGUCGCAAGACGAUGUAUAGGAGCUGACGCCUGCCCGGUGCUGGAAGGUUAAGGGGAUCUGUUAGAGCAAUCGAAGCAGUGAACUUAAGCCCCAGUAAACGGCGGCCGUAACUAUAACGGUCCUAAGGUAGCGAAAUUCCUUGUCGGGUAAGUUCCGACCCGCACGAAAGGCGUAACGAUUUGGGCACUGUCUCAACAACAGACUCGGUGAAAUUGUAAUUCCGGUGAAGAUGCCGGAUACCUGCGACAGGACGGAAAGACCCCAUGGAGCUUUACUGUAGCUUGACAUUGGGUCUUGGUACUACAUGUACAGGAUAGGUGGGAGGCUUUGAAACCAGGACGCCAGUUUUGGCGGAGCCAUCCUUGGGAUACCACCCUUGUAGUACUGGGACUCUAACCAUAGGCCAUGAAUCUGGUCUUGGGACACUGUCAGGUGGGCAGUUUGACUGGGGCGGUCGCCUCCCAAAAGGUAACGGAGGCGCUCAAAGGUUCUCUCAGUACGGUCGGAAAUCGUACGUAGAGUGUAAAGGCAAAAGAGAGCUUGAUUGCAAGACAUACAGG